CCGGGGCCGGUGCGGGGGCGAGCGCUGCACGGCGGAGCGGCCGCGGUUCGGCACUGCGGGCUGCUCGGCUCCUCCGAGCGCUCGUGUGCGGGGAAAGCUGCGGCCCGCGCACAGCGUCGGAGCUGCCGCUCCUACAGCGGCAGGGCCGCCCGACGAAGCGCUACGGCGCUGCAUUUUAUCUUUUGCCGCCAGGAUGUGGCUCAGUGCCAGCUCCCUGCCCUCCGCUCGUUCUACCCUUCUACGAGCGGUUCUGCCGGCGGGAGGAGGCGUUCCGGCCGCGGGGCAGCGCGAAGGGCUGCGACAGGUGCAGAGGGCCGCGCUGCGGGCUCGGCGGCGCUCUGCGGGUGGAGGGGAGACAUCUUGGGGGCAGGAGGGCUGCGGGGCCUGCAGACCCCUUCGUGUCAUUGACUUGCCUGGUUUUGGAAGUCGCUUUGUAGGGAACUGAAAGGCGUAGGGAGCUGGAGACCCAGACCUUACUGCAAAAUGGAUUAUGUAGGCUCUUCAGGCGCCUCUGUGCUCUUUCCGUUUUUCUGUUUCCAUCAGCUAGUGUGUGGUUUGAAACAAAAAUACCAGUGGCAUGUAAAUGCCUUUGUUUAGUAAAUAGGAGAACCAAGGGGUUGCUUUGCUAUGGUGAGGCCUCAUCUCGAGUACCGUGUUCAGUUUUGGGCACCUCAGUACAGAAGGGACACUGAAAUGCUAGAGCAGGUCCAAAGAAGGGCAACAAGGCCUGUGAAGGGCUUGGAGAAUAUGCCCUAUGAGAAACGAUUGAAGGAAGUGAGGCUGUUUAGUCUGGGGAAAAGGAGACUGAGGGGAGACCUUAUUGCUCUCUUCCAAUAUCUGAAUGGUGAUGACAAUGAGAGCGGGGUUGGUCUCUUCUCACUGGUGACAGGUGACAGGAUGAGGGGAAAUGGCCUGAAGUUGUGCCAGGGUGAGUUUAGAUUGGGUGUCAGGAAACACUUAUUUACAGAAAGUGUGGUUAAGCACUGGAAUAGGCUCCCCAGGGAGGUGGUUGAGUCACUAUCCCUGGAUGUGUUAAAAAACCGUUUGGAUGUGGUACUCAGGGACAUGAUUUAGUGGUGGGUUGUUAGUUAGGGUAGAAUGGUUAGGUUAUGGUUGGACUUGACCAUCUUUAAGGUGUUUUCCAACCUGAACGAUUCUAUGAUUCUAAGUGGAAAAAGUAAGAGCACUUGCAACAGUGUAGCUUAGUCGAUGGCCUCCACCUUCCUUGUGGAAUGUACACAGCAGUAUGUGCAUGGGAACUGUUGAAUCACAGCCCAAACCUCUGAUUGACCACCUGAGGCGAGCGCUGAGUCAGCUGCAGGGGCACAGGUGAACGCAAUUUCACCUGAGUGACUGAAGUCAGGCUCCACCCCUCCUAUACCCCAUUUAAGGGCUGACUCCCAAGGAGGAAGGAUCUCUAUCUGGAGAUCACUCUCCUUGGAACCCUUCUGUGAGCCCAGGAUAAGGGUAAGAUCUUUAUUUCAUUUCUCCUUUGUAACACGAUAAUCUCUCUGGUUCAAUACCUGUAUACCUGUUUGCCGUACAAGUAUGUUAAAUGAGCACUCCUGCAGAGCAGAAAGGGAAAAACAUUUGCUUGGCCUGAAUCUGUUUGGCUUUUUGUUGUUGUUGUUGUUGUUGUUUUUCUUUCUUCUCUGGAAAAGGUUGCUUCAAAUAUGGCAUGUCAGUAUAGGAGGCUGGGGAUGGCAUGCGUAGGUGGAUCAUUAGAGUGAGCUCUGUCUGCAUGGAGCAGUGGUUAAUGGCUGGCUCUGCAUGCUUUAGUUUGGAAGUGAAAAUAGUGAUUGUUCCUGCAGUGAGGGAAGGAUAAGUUUUUUUUAUUAUUAUUACUUUUCCUUACUGAAAAAUGGAAACAGGAUACUAGAACCUGAACGUUAUUUUAUUGGGCAUCUAUUUACUUGCAUGCUUGUUGUAAAGGAUCCCAUUAUCCCGUGUGCUUAUUGAGCAACUCGUGUAAUUGGGAUAGUUGUGGUUCCUCAGUUGUGGCUGAAGGCCCUGGGCAUGGUGCUGGUGAUAAAAAUAAUACAUAUGGAGGUAACAGGCAGUUGCUUGAUCUGUUGCCAUUAUUUUUGGGAAGAUGUUUAAAUACAUUGGUUUGCCUCAGUACUGUUGCUGGGUAGGCAGAAGGCUGAUGAUUAUAGAGACAGGAAAUGCAUAUAAAAGACAACUGAGGCUUCACUAGGCAGAAACAAAGAGUGACUGGUGAAUUACAGUGUCAGGAAAUUAGUUCAACAGAUGGAUUUUUCUUCUGUAGACCAGCCAUUAAGUAUGACCCAUGCAAGUUAUUCUAGUUGUUAACUUUGGCCCCAUAUAAACCUUACAUAAGCACUCCGUGGUGCAUCCAAUGUAUACCUUUUAAACCAUGGAAAGUAAUGUCCCAUUCCAUCACACCUGUAUCUGUCACCUACCAUACAUUUACUUUUUUUCUUGUAAAACAGUUGGGAGCCGGAGUUAUCGCGCAUCUGCUGUUGUUUUUGUUCUGGUUUGUUUGGUUAUUUUUGUUUUUGUUUUCUGACCAGAAAAAGAGUGUGUGUGUCUUAGCAAUUGCACUGUUGCAGUCAUUGGUUGAUUUCUACUGUAAUUGCCUCUGGCUGGAGAAAGAAAGCAUGUAUAUGAGUUCAGAUACAUGUCAUAUUAGUCCACCCAUUCUAUAGUGAGCCCAUUCCUUUCUUGAAUAAAGCAUCAAUAAUGGCUUCCCAUUCUGUAUCUGUAAAUGUAGAGUGGUAUGAGUUCUUGCUAAUGUUGACAAAACAUUAGCAGAGUAAAUAUAGCUGUUUGUGCUUCCUGGCAAAUGUAAAUAAUGAUUCAAAAGAAUGUUGACACUUUCUAAAAUAAUGUGAAGGCAGGGAGGAAGGAGUGGUUGAUCAAGUGUUGUUACCAUUGAACAUCUGGUUGGUUUGACAGUGAAAACUUGAAUUGCUUCUGUUUUUAUCUUAUGUGUACACCAAAGACAGAUGGUGUAAUCAUGUCAAAUGGAAGGGUGCAUGUGUCCAUAGACGUGGGGUGGGGAGUUUGUAUGUAAUGAUCAGUGUGAAUUUAGUUUAGUUGACCACUGUCACUGAUGUAAAUCCAUUUUUCUUUCUGAACUCCUCUUCCACCUUCUGUUACAAUAACUUCCAUCCCUCUGCCAAGCAAAGAAAACAAUCUGUGUUGCAGUUAAUCUGGGGCAGGAGCCCUGCUGCCUGGCAGAACAGUCAGUUGGCCAGCUGGUUGAUGCUGGACAGACUGGGUAGCAGCUGAGACCUAGUUGCCUUUUUCUCUUAGGGUCUGCUAGUUUACAUUUCUUCUUCUAGGUUAGUUCUGUGAAUUUGGAGGAGCUUAUUAUCUUUCAGAUUUCUAAGCCACAGACAGCCUGAAGCCAGCAGGUUCAUUUAACCAAAUUUAUGAGCAGGGGUCAGACAGAUACAUUUGCAUGAAGCUUGUUUCCUUACAAGAACUAACUGGAAAACCCAGUAACCCUGAAUGCACUUGAAAGAACAAUGGUUUGAUUGCCUUGUGAUCAUUUGCAAGGCUGAAAUGAAACAGUUCAGUUAAUAACUUUGUCUUAAUGAGAGAAUGUCUGAAGGUGAUGUUUCUAAAUGCUGUUUGAAUCGACCCAAAUAACAACCUUCCUUCCAGACAAAUGUUGUUACUAGGCUUGCAGUUGGUGUAUUUUCCCAAACUAAGAAUUCCUUGCAGUCUAGGAUAAAAAGAGACUGCAGUAGAAUGUGAGUAGACAGAUAUCUUAUUUACACUUACAUGCACACACUUCACAUAUUUUAGCAGUAGUUUACUAUCUCUAUAACAAAAAAAGUUUAAAUGCUUUCAAAUGAUGCCUUUUAUGUAACUAACACUUCUAGCUGAGGAGAAACUUUCACUUGAGAACUAAAUGCCAGACAUCAACUUGUAUUUCAUCUCUUAUUACCCAACUGAACCUUCAGUUGGACUCUUUAAUUGUGGAUCGCAAGAUCUCUAUGUGAGUAGUCAGUCAAAUGCAGAAGUAAUAAUUGUUAGAAGUAAGUUUUAUUCAUCCCUAAUCUGAAGGCUGCUCCAAAAGUAAUGCCUUCUAUUUUACUAUGUUGGCCCACGACAUCAGAGGCAGCUGUCAGAAGAGGCUGAACCUUUCCUCCAGUAUCCCGUUACACUUUGUUGCUGUACAAUAGAUGGCAGCAGAGGGGCAGUCUGACACAAUGGCAUCUGACGUGGAAGUGAGUGUGAAACAAAGGGGUGUAAUUAAAGUCCUCCAUGUAAGAAAAGAUUGCAACCACUGACAUUUGUUUACACUUGAUGAGUGAUUAUGGAGACCAAACAGUGGGUGCUGCAUUUCAGCAGUGGUGCCAGCAACAUGAAAGGCAGACCACAUUUCAGAUGGCCAUGCAGAUUUUUGUAAGCGUGGCAUGCAGGCUCUUGUGCAUCGCUGGCAAAAAUGCAUAGCUAAUGGUGAUGGCUGUACUGAAAAACAGUGUUUUAUAGCUCAGAAUUUGUUCUAUCUGAAUUGUGUUAUUGUGCUCUCUUUGUCUGUUGUGGUUUCCAUGGAAAUAAACAGGAGGUAUUACUUUCAUAGCAGCCUAUGCAUAUCAAUGGUGGAAAAAAGCCAGGCUUUAAGUACUUUUGUAUAUGCACCUAAUGUAAUAAUAUAUCAGCUCUUCACAACCCAGAUCCUAAGGACAAAGAUUUAAUAUCUGAAGUAUAGAGAUAUAAGAGCUGAGUUCAUGUAUGCUUUUGGGGAAAGCAGUUUGAUUUAAGUUUCUCUCUUGAAGAGAGACAGCACAAGCAUGAGUUUGUUCAUAUUAAUUUCAUGAUGCAUUGAGGGACUAGUGUCAAAGUCUUCUGGUUUAUACUGUUACAGGAUAACUCUAUUAAAAUAACAUCAUAAUGGAAAAGACCUUGUAGUGUAAGAACUGUAUGAUUCCAUGGAAUACCCAUGUGAUUACAUACAAAUGUUUCAUUGUGGAAAGUAACAAAGUGGAAUCUCAUAUAGGAGGGUUGGUGCAAAUGUCCUGAGCAAAUGCCAGAUCAAACAGCUGGAUUUUUUCAUCUCUUAAUUCUUAUUGUAUAUCCAAUUAGAUAUGAUAGUGUUAUUUGUGCUCUCUGAUGGUAUGAAUGUUAAAAUUGACUAUUUUAACUGUUCUUUGGCCUUUCAGGUUUCAUGCGUAGUUUCACCUGUUCUGUUUCAGAAGUAUUUCAGUGCAGCUAGUUGGUCUUUGAACAACUGUGCAUUGUUUUCUGCACUAGUGCCCCAGUGAUUCAUCAAAAGCGAUAGACAAAUAGUUCUAACCCCAACAUAUAGUCUCCAUUUUUCUUACUUUGACUAGUUUUCUUUCACAUCUUUGCUCCAGAAACUAUCCCAAAAGACUCAAAAAUACAUUGAAGUUAUCCUGGCAGCUGUUAGUUAGCCUGUAAAAUGUGCUGCAGCUUUAAUGAGAUCAUAUAUAUCUUAAUAUAUCUAUAUAAUUAUAUAUAUAUUUGCUAACUAUUCUCUCGUUUGCCUUCUACCUCCUACAGAAUUUCCAUAUACACAUAUGGUGAGCACAUAACUGUGGUGAAACGAUCUCACCACCUGUUGUUUUAAAAUAGCACAGAUGCUUAUUAAUGGUCCUUCCAUGAUGCUGUUUAUAGUACAUGUUAAACCUCACUUAAAAUACUGUGGAUCAUAUUGGUGAAGGAUAUUAUUACUUCAGUAGCAGCCUUAAAUUGGUUCCUGUUCAGCAUCUUUAUUCAAUCUGUUGAUUGUUCAUAGGUAGAAAAGAGGCCGUCUUCAUAGGACAGUCAAAGCUGUGAUCUUCAGUGAGAAACGUGUCAUUGAGUCGUGUACAAGGUGUUGUGUGAAAAUGGCUGUUGCUAUUUGGAUACCUGAUCAACCCAAAGAACUACAAAACAUAUGAUUACACCACUUCUCAAUGCUCUGUCUUGACCUCAGUUGCUUUGAACUCCUUUGUGCCAAGACUCAAGAGCAGAGCUAUUGCACUUUAUGCAAAUAAAGGGAAAGUGAAUAACCUGAGAAGUUAUGCCUUGAUCAAGAGCAUCUCCUGAUGUAUUUAUUUGUUAUUCAUUUACUUUUUCAUGGAAAAGCCUGUUCCAAACUGACUAAACUAAAUGUAUCUAGGUACACGUUCCAUCAAUUCUGUGUUUUCUUUGUCCAAUCUAAAGAGUGACUUGGAUUCUCAACUUUGCUUUCAAAGAGUUUCCAGAGUUCUGCUUAGUAUGUAAUUCUCCUAUAACUCUAGACUUGUGAGGUUUUUAUCUUGUUUUUCUGUUCCUUUGUUGUUCUGGUGUUUAUUUGUUGUUCGCUUUGGUACAACCUGAUCAAACUAGAAAUUAGAGAUGCAUUCCAUGCAUUUUUACUUUAAAAUCAUCUAUCCAUGUGAGGGCAAACAAAUUCUUGAUGUUAAAGUGGCAGUUUGUUGUCACUCACACUUCACUGGUAUGUAAACUCUAAAAGGUGAUCAGAGUAAACAGACUGUGCUGCUCUUAAGCUUUUUGAAGUUCUUGCUUAAGGCACAGUAUGUUCUUGGUGUUUGUAUGUUUCUUGUGAAUUCCAAGAAAGCACUGCCAUGCACUUGAAAAAAUAUAUAGCAGAAAAAGGAAUGAAGGAUGUGUUUUAUAUACAUUGAGCAAAAGCUCAUAGGAUUUCCUGCUCUGAGCGAAUAGAGUUAUUGUUUACCCUACGGUGUUGACUAUCAGAUGUCUGCUCAGGCUGUCUAGGACGAACAUAACUUUUCUGAAAGAUUUGUGUAGCGUAUCAGUACAAAGCUAACCUGUAAUAGCAGAAUCUGCUAUUGGAAUAUGGCUGCUGGCAAGCUUUCAGUAAACGAUAGAUGGAGAAGUAAUUCAUAUAUUACUUCUCCAUUAUGUAUUAAGUAAUCCAUCUUUUGAUGGAGUCUUCAAGCACUUGAUAGCAUUGAUGAAGAGUUUUGUUGAGCUCUAGUAAUAUUUGCACUACAAUUUAAUUUCAGGGAACAUAAUGUCCUCACUGAAUGUGUUCAGUUACUCAGAUUUAUAUUCUCAGCCUCUGUGGUGUACUUUGGCAUUUAUAUGACUUGGUGUAUGUGGAGUUUAAGGAAGUAAGUCUCCAAUCGGCCUUAAAUUUGUUGCCUGAUUGUUUAAUUAGGGACCCUUUUAAUUGCCCUGAUGUGAGAAAUGCUAAACAGUUGUUCCUUCUCCCUGUCUCACUCAGUGAUUUCACUGGAUCUGCUGCAUUGUCUUUUUCUUCAAGAACUGUUUCUCCUUGGUCUGUUUACUCUUUCUGCAUCUGUAGACUGUUCCAUAUCUGAUUCUUCAUCACUUCUUUAAAAAUAUACUUUCCUUCCUACUAAUGGAUUUCUGUAAGAGCUUGAGAACUAUGCCUAGUGGUAUGGUAACUUCUAUUUCUCUUCCUUUCCUAGACUUCUACUAUGCUGUUUUUUCCCCUUCACAGAUAUUAAUUCUGUGUUUUAUUUGGGCUGGUCUCUGACACCACUGUGAAGUUCAUUGUAGGAUCAGUACAGCAGGAUGUUUGCCAUGAGACUGAGCCAGUCUCCCAUAAUGGGUGCCGUUAGCAGGAAGUUAGUAGAAGUUGAUAGCUGGUUAUCAGAACGUUCAUCUUGCAAAUGUGGGAAAACAUAAAAUGUGUGUGCCUUAAAAUGUAAGAAAAAAACAACACGUGUAUACCCAUGUAUAAUGUAUAGCCUUACAAAGCAAGAGAGAUAUAAAUGCCUUCUUUGUUUCAUAUUUCUUACAGUUUGAAAUAGUGGGAUAAUGGCAGGUUAUGGAGCUGGGCUAAUGUGUGAGUAUAGACAUGAUGAUCCAGAAAUGAAUGAAAAGGAUCCACUAAUGUGUAUAAGAAUUGGAGCAUGUGGAAAAAAAAAAGAAAAAAAAAGCCAGACAUAAUGUGAAACACUUCAUGAAUAAAAAAAAUAAAACAGCCCAGAAAUAGACUUUUAUGUUUUAAUUAACUGUUAUUUAUAAAGUCUCAAGGUGUUAAAAUGUGGAAUGGAGCAUGCGUGAACAUAGAAGCUGUGAGACUUUAGGAAGAGGCAUGGCUUAUCAAUAUUGAUUACAGCAUGCCUUAAAAGCCUGAGGACACCAGAGCUUUUUGUCAGUGAGAUAAGCACAUUUCAUCAUAUAUUUGCUUGUAUACUGGCUGCUAAUAUUUACAUUCAUUUCUUAGACCAACAUCAAAACCUUUUCUAAGCAGAAUAUUGGUCCUGAAUAGGGAGUGCCCUGAAUUAUCUGAACAGCUGGAGGACUUCUUGAGUAAGUCUUUUGUGUGUAGAUUUCUUGUGGUGAGAAGUGCAAGUGUUGAUCUGUUGAGUGGUAGCUACAAUAUUAUUAGGCAGUGAAGAUUUAUGUAAUGUCAGUGUCAUUCACUGAGUGACAGCAUGCAAAAAGAGCAUUGCCAACCCUGCAUGUCCUUUUGGAGUUAAAUUGUUGUAGCUAUAGCAAGUGUGCUGCUAUAAGUCCUGUGCAGGGCAAUGGCAGCAUUCUGUUGAGUUUCACAGAAGCACAAACACUGAUAAAUGGUGAAAAAGAGAUGCACUGCCUCCACAGAAAGUAUCACACCAACCCUCAACGCACACACAGCAAGGGUAUUUAUAGAACACAAACAUGAUAGCCACUCAUCCAGAGGAGCAGAUACUGUGUGUAAGGAAUUACAAGCAUGUGACAUCACUUCCUCACUAAUACUUCUAUAUUCAUUAUAUAUAGAUAUAGCAAUAAGCUUUUAAUAUACAGGCAGCUAAUAAUGGGGAAUGAUUUCAUUAGUGCAUAAGGAAGGAGCUGUGUGAAGAUACUUGUGUUAUGCACUAAUUGUCAUUCUAGAAGUGGAUACUUCUCAAUUUUACAUUCUUCACAUUUACGUAAUUACCAUACAAACCAAAGAGCAAGAAUAACUUAUUUUCCCUCUCUCAGAUUUUGGAGAAUUGUAUUAUUUGUGCUGCACUUCUGAUCAUGGAAGACUUCAAAACACUUAACAGCCCUUCCAUUUUCAUUGACAAGCAUGGAAUGAAAAGUGUGGCUUAAACACUGUUUUCCCACAGACGUAUUGUGAGUAGAACUGCAGAGCAGGAAGUUAUUUAUGCUAAUCUCUAGAAAAAGGCACUGAUGUCUGAUGGCUGCUGCAGCACAUUGGGCCACACUGUUUCCUUCUAAGCAGAAAAUUCUUUCCUGUCACUUCUGUGCUUCAUAUAAGCAAUUUUUGAAGGGCGUUUAUCCAUUACAGGCUGCAGCUCUGCUUCUUAAGUACUUGUUUUGAUGGGACAACUCACUACCCAGUGUAUUUUGUGUAGAUGUGCUAGAUUCUCCACGUCCCCUCUUCAUUGUAAUUUCUGUUAUUCCACCAUCGUUUCCCUUGGUCUAGCUAAAUCAGACAAUAAUACUCCUUUUUCCAAAUCUCCCAAACAUAUUCUUUACUGAAUUUGUCAAUAAGGAAGGUUUUUGAGUUUGUAGUUGGGAUUGCCUUGGUAGGACAGUAUUUUACAAACAAUUACCUUUAACUACUAUCACAAACUUCUUUUUUUUUUAAACUAGCAAGUUCUGUACCUUUUAAAUGUCAAUUCAAAAUUUGCAUAGGCAAACUACGAGGCAGAAUUCUAGGCUUACGAACUUGUUUUGAGCACUGUUCUGGGAUCAAUAUCCAAAUGACCACUUGUCUUUGUGUGGUAUGUUGCAUUAAUUUCCCACUAGGGCGAGAAGAGUGCCACGGGUCUGACCAAUUUUCCUCUGCUAGCCGGGUUGUGUGAUCUGAGCCACUUGCUGAGCACCAUGCGUUCUUUGAGCCUUGGGCAGUGCUUGAGUACCUCAUUGUGUCUAGGCAUCCUUAGGGACAGAUAUGAGGUUUAGUUCAGUUUUUUUUUUUGUAUGGAACGGGGGUCAACCUUGUGAUCUUCAUUUUAAUAUAAGCAGUGUCUGUGAACACUGAACACCAGAAGAGUUUCAUAUUAUACUGUUGAACUGUUGCUGGGGAUUUCAGGACAUCUUUAGCUUUUGUUAAUUCUUUCUGUGAAAAAGAACCAUAGCCAAAUAGACCACUUUCUGUGGCUUUCCUCCUAUCUCAUGAUCUCUGCAUACAACUGAAGUACAUCCUGGCUUUUGUAGCUACUUGCUUAGUUUCAUGUGGGAAAAGCUGCACACUGCUCUACCUAACAGUAACAGCUAGUUACUCAUAAAGGAUCCUUCAUCCUCUGAAAAUCUUUACAUCUCUGAACACAAGGCAAAUAAGACUGGCAUAAGCUCUGAAAUACCCAGCGGAGUGUUUGCGCUUGAAUCAUCUGCAGCACACCUACUUGGACUGUGCACAAGAAGAUGUCUUUUCUUUUUUUACCCUGUGGAAACUGGAAUGGUGUAGACAGAAUGGGAGUGCCUAGCUCUCCAUCCUAAGAUUUAAUCAUGUCAACUCUGCAAAGUACUUGUGCAGUGUGCAACUGUAACAUAACUAGAAUCUUGUUUACUGUUCUAUAGCGUGUUCCGCUACAUUUUUUUUACAAGCAAACUUGUUUAGGAGUUCCUUGUCAUCUCAAAAUGACAAAAGUCAUACUAUGACUACUAAUGCACUAAGCAAUACUGCUGCCUUUUUAUUUUUCUUUGUUGGAGCAGCUGCAGCAGGAUCCCUACCUUUCUGAUAAAAGUACCUGUUUUGGCAAUAUUCCCAUUUCCAUGAUUGCUUGAAAGAGGUUGUGCUUUCUCAUCUAUCCUGAGAUGAAGGAAGAGUGUAUACUUACAUAUGUGAGACUUAUCUCAAACAUAGAAUCAUAGAAUGGCCUGGGUUGAAGAGGACCACAAUGAUCAUCUGGUUUUAACCCACCUGCUAUGCGCAGGGUCACCAACCACUAGACCAGGCUGCCCAGAGCCACAUCCAGCCUGGCCUUGAAUGCCUCUGGGGAUGAAACAUCUAAACAUUCUGCCAGGUGCUGUGAGGGAGGGGACUAAAAUGGCUUUGCCAACUUGUCCUUCAUAGUCUUGGCUACUUGAAGUGCCUUUCUGAUGUGAUGUAUUAUCAGCUGAAAUAAUUUUGACUUUGUCCCCAGACUCCUUAAGCCUUCCCUGCCUGAUUUUUGCUCUUUCUAUGAACUUGUGUAAUACGUUUAUUUCUGCAGCAUCCAAUGAAAAGGACAUCUGUGGCCCAUUUGCUAGUCUGUUCCUUUUUGCUUUGUGUAUACAGGCUACCAGAGUAGAAUUCAUUUUUCCCACAUUGAGUACAGCUUACUCAAAAAAACAUCAAUGGCACCAAAAUUUAAAUGGAACUGCCCAUCAUUCCUUCUAGCCUGCUCCUCUACUCUUCCUUCCUUCCUGUUUUGAAACAGUGGAAAAAAAUUACAAGAGUCAAAUGAAAGCUUAUGUCUUUAUUCUAAAUGGAUAAAUUUAAUAACUUAAAAUUACCAAGGUCUGUCAGUCUGAUGUUACUCCCAGGCAAAGUAGUAUAAAAAGCAAAGCUCCUUUUACUUAAAGCUUUGAAGAACAGUAGUACAAUUAAUGCCAGUUGCUGCUGAUUAAAAGAGGAAAAAUGAACCUAACAAAAGGGAUUGUAACAAGCUGGCUUUACGCAUUUUUGGAGGUUGCAGGUUUGUUUAGCUUCAGGAAUUAAACUUAGUGGUGUAUUUCAGAGAGAUCUGAAGUUAAUACCACUUAAUAUCUACCAACUCAAACACCUCUAGCAAGUUAUCUGCCAGGUUUGCUGGUUAGUUCUGAAUGCCGGGCAACAUGGUGGCCAACAGUUGCAAUAGAGCAUGUGGUAUGUGACAUUCACAGCAUGUUUUACCCACUGGAAUGUUUUUGUACCUGUCAUAGAGGUGUGAUGAAUGUCUUCCAACAAGUAUGUGGUGGUGUUUCGGUCAGCACUGACCCAGACUGAGCAGCUGCUUUUGACUUCACUGUAGAAUGAUUUCUAAAAAUGGAUUACUUGCAACAGUUUUUAUCUGCUCGUUAAAUACCAAAGCAAUCUGUGUUGAAUAUGUACUCGGUAAUAAAUGGCAUUCCCUUUUUUACUCAGUCUCUGCAAUGUUCUGCAAUAUUGGUGAGCGUUCCCUUAACUUUUUCUCCACCAUGACCCCCCGCACCCCCUGCAAAAAAGAAAAGUAAAGGGAACCUUUUUAUGCAUUCCACAAAAUGUGAAUUCUUUCUUCAAAAGUAGUCAGGAUGUUGUUUAAAUACAGCCAAUUUAUGAAAAGUACUCUGAAUAUCCUUUUAGUAGGGCACACUAAGUAUGUUUGCUUGUUAGAUGAGUUCAAAGACAGCACAAACAGAAUGACGCAUUCUCCUCAGCUAUCUUAAAGGCUUCUAUGAGACUGCAGAGAUUUUUUUGUUGUUUUUUUUUCCUGUAUAAUACAGACCACAUUUUUUCCAAGUGUUUGUCUAUGUGGCAAAGUUAAUAAAAGAUCUGAGCAAUCUCCUGGCAGUAAUUUUACCGGAGCCCUUGGUUUAAUAAAAAGCUAGGAAAGGGCUUUUACGUUAGUGUCCUCACAAAGCUUCUGAAAAAUGCAUUUUAAAUUUAUUUCUUUUUCCUGUGAUGUUUCUGAUAUUUUUUUUUUCCAGCUCUUGGUCUCUAAACAACAAGGGGAAAAAAGUUUAAAUUUAGACUGUGAACUUGGUUACAGCCAUCUUGCUUUAUCUUCAUUGUAGUUUCAUGUAUUAAAUCCACCAGACUUAUCACUUUCUUGCUAGAAACCUAUGAAACUGUUAAAACAUUGAAAAUGGGCAUUUCUUUCUUCCCAUAUGACUCAUCACUUUGCUUGCCUCAUUUGAAUGUUUUACACUUCAUUAAUCCCUUGUGGUUAUGCUGUAUGUCUUGGUUUUUUCUCUUCUGUCUCUGUUGGACAAUAUGAACUUUGUUUCAUUUGUCUUUUUGCAUUUUGAACUUUGGUACAGGCUGUUCUCCCCUGCAGCUCCACUUUCCAUCUACAACAGGGUAAUAUUCUUCCAGACAUCAGCAUGUUGCCUAAAGAUCAAGAGGGCAGUUUAACAUUGCAUUACCUUCCCUACUUCUCAUGCAGUAGAUAAAAUGAAAACUGCUGUGAAAACAGAAGACUACCAGCUGUGCCAGAUGCAUGCUACCUAGUAGCAUGAAGAAAAUCUCUUGUAUAAGCUGCACUCAGGGGAUGCUGGGUGGGUCUUUCAAAUUAAUUAUUGAAAAUGGCAUGAGAAACACAAGAUGAAGAAACAGGGAAAAAACGUCAGCAAUUAAAAUGAGUAAACUGUCACAAAGAGUCCCUGAAAAGCAGCUUUUAAAAACACACAAUGCCAACAAACAAAUUUAUAAACUAUUUGUUUUUCACUGCUGCGGCCAGAACUCAGUAUGAGAGGUGCCUUUGUAGACUCCUUUGUCUUUGGUCUCUGGCUGCUCCAGCUCAGUCUGUUCUUCUGUCCAUCCCCUUUCUUCUUUCUUUCUUUAUUUAUUUCUAUAAAGGACAGAGACGAAGGUCAAUGCUGUGCUGUGGAGCCACAUGUUUGAGUGAUUUGCUUUGUACUAUUCCAAGUCCUUCUUAGUUAAUAAUGUCAAUAUACUAGUGAAGAAACUCCACUGCAAAAAUGCAUUUUUUUCAGAUGGGAGCUGAUGAAAUUUUUAAUGCUUUUUCAUUUUACUGUUUCAAAACUUGAUUUUAAAACAAGAUUGUGUUUCAGUGCUAUCUCACUUCAUGCAUUCAAAAGACUGUUACUUGUGUGCCAGUUCAGAAUGGAGGUCAUAGUUCUGCCUUCAGUACUAUGCUACCCAGGUUGCAGAUAAGAUGCAAGACUUUAUUAUAUAGACUAUGCAUAGGUGUUAGUGGUAAAAUACAUAGCAAUGUUCCUCUUCCAGUUAUCAUCAAGCCCAGGGCCAAAGUGUGUGUGUGUUCUUGCAAAUUUAGGAGUUAAAUGGAAAUCUUCAUCUUCUCUUGAGAAAUUAAGUAUUUUUGACUUUGUGGGUAGAAUCUGACGAGGAUUCCACCAGUGAUAAUUCCCUAGUAAAGAUAAUUAAAGCUGGUAUCUUGAGAACUCUUUGCAUUAAUUUUGUGUCAUAUUAUACUUUAAUUUCUGCAACCUUAAUUAAUCAAACGUUAAUGGUUACUCAAUCUGUAGCAACGUUUUGGGCUUAGAAGUAUCAAGGGGCAUAUUCCUAAUUGAAUACUGGGACCAGUGUCUUCUGCUCCCCUUUUCCAAAAGAGGAAUAGACUGAUGUAAGUGCAGGGAGAAAAGAAAGAGGUAAUUGUCAGCUUGUCCUUCAGGACAAGAAAUGACAGCAGAAUGAAGACAGUGAAGUAAUUAAAAGGUCUUUCUGUAGAAGAUGAGGUGGCCUUUACUGUGCCUAAUUACGCAGACUGUAAUUUAAUAGAUGCUGCCUCAGUCUCCCAGUUGGAUCUUUCAGUGACUGGUUCCUGCAGGCAGUCUGAGUGCUUACAGUCUAGGCCUCUGAGCAGAGAUCCAGGUAAUCGUUGCCUGAGACCACAGGCUGAGAGAACAGAUUGCCUUGUGAGAAGUCAGAGCUCUCAUCCUUUGUGGUUUAGUGUUAUAGAUUAAUCCUUUGUAGAUUAGUGGCUUUGGCCUGUAAUGUUAACAGUUUGUAUUGUAGCAGGAUAGAAAGGAGUAUCAACCUCAUUCUAAACCUCAGUUGUUAUCCUCCAGCAAAUAGAGCUAUAAUCUGGUUUUAUAAACCUGUUUAGAGGUGACCAAAAAAUAAAAUAUUUGGUUACUUAAGUAUGCGUCAGGAUCAAGCAACUCCAGAGCAGGCCAAAUUAAUUUCAAGGAAUCAUCCUAAGAAGGGUCAGUAUGUGUGUAAAUGGGGGCUUUAUUUCAUCUAUGACAUAUACUGAUAAUAGUGACAACUUUUUGAACUCACUCAUCGUGGAUUAAGCAAUGUGUAUGCAGACCAGUACCCUUUGCUGUUACAGUUCUUUUGUUGAAGUUGAGUUCUUGGUCAAGAAAACAAUUUUGAACUGUAUGUAGCUCUAUGAUAAGAGUAGGUGAACAGUGACACAAGUCCAUACUCACUGUGGGAACCAGCUGUACGUGUAUGUCACUGGUUGACUUGUAAAGUGAAAUUGACACUAAGACAAUGAGAAACAAACUAACCUUUCCCAAAUUUAUGCAUUAUUGAGUUUGUAAUUAUUUAACAUAUCUUAUUCUGAUGCAGAAAAAUGCAAAUAGAUAUGUGACAGCAAGCAUGGCAAGCUAAACUUGCUCUUCUGUCAAACCCACCCACAUAGAAUAUAUUCAAGAAAAGCUCCAUCACAUGCUGAAAUCUGAAGACUGAAGCAAUCUCAAGAUCUAAAUUUGAGUACACUUAAUAACUGUUUAUAAUUCAGCAUUCAAACUGUGCUGGUGUAGGGCAAGAAACAACAGAAAUCAAGCAGGAACUGUAGAACAUGAUGGUAUUUUAUAAUUGUGAAUGUUGCCAACAUUGUUGUGGACCUCGUAGUUUCCUUUCCUCAGGGGUAUUCACUUUUAACAACUCCUGAAAGCUUUCUGCACAGACUUGUUAGGGAAAGCUAGUGAAAAAUUCUGGAAGAAUCAGAAAAGAAGAUAUAUUUGCUGGUAUUGCCCAUAGCAUCAGAAUAUGGAAAAAGUUGCUUUUCACAGAGCACAGAUUUCUAGUCUAAUUGUCCUGUACUACUUAGCUUUUAUUUUCCUUUUACUUGUUCAUAAUUCUUCCUUCUUUGUAACAAAUUAGUAUAGCUUUAUGACUACUAGAUUCUGUACUGAUUUAUUUGAUAUUAGCUGAUCAGCACUGCUUUUGGGGCUCAGUCAUGGCAAAUAGGAAUGGCCUUGCAAUAUCAUGUUAAGGAAAAGUAUACUCAGAGUAGUUUUCUCAGUGAAUUAUACAAGCUGAGAAAAAGCUACUUAUUCUUCUGCAUGUAUCUUAACAGCCUUAGAGAUCACUCUAAGAACAUUCUCUACUGUCAGGUGCAAUUCUGUUUGUAGACCUCCUCCGCCCUAUUCUUGUUGGUUUAGAGUGCCCAAGAUUAAUAGGAAGAAAUACAGAAGAAAGCCUAAUAUAAAGUUGAGCAGAGUAAAAAUUGUCUCACAGUCAUAAGGGUUAGCUCUGCAAUACUUUAUUACUACAUUCAUAGCAUCUAAAAGAUGUAAUACUUUGCAGUUUCAUAGAAAGUUUAUGCAGUGUUAGUAGAGCUCAUGGGAGUAUUUGAUUGCAUGCUUAAUAAUCAGAUUGAAACAGUUUGUGUUGGCAACGUGAUCAUCAUCUAUAUUUGCCUCAAAUCAGAGGUGGUGGUAUGUUUUCUUUAGCUUAUAGGGAUUUUUCUGUGAUACUCUUUUUGUUUCUGUGUAGGUUUUUUUAUCUUUCAAGUUAGCAGUUAACUAGAAAGUCAAUUGCAAGUGUCUCAAAUAGACUUUGUGAAGUAUUUCUUUGGGAUUAGAUAGUAUUCAGAAUAUGAGAAUUGUAAUUUGUUUGUUUUCCCUGGGACCACGGUGUGGUUUCCUGUGGUGGUGGUGGUCGUUUUCUUCUUGUUUGUUUUCUGGGGUUCAGGCCUUUGUUUGCUUUUUCUUUUUUCUUUUAAUGAAUUCCCUUCUUUAUUGUUAUAUUCCUAAAGUGUGCAUGGUGACUGUCAUAUUCUGUGCUAUUUUUUGCCCCAAGGACAGCAUAGCUCUUCACUUUAAUCUUGUGUUCUAAUAAUACCAUCCUCUGACCAUCGGACUCAGAGACUGAGCACCUUAAUGCUUACUCUCUACAGUGUCGUUUUAUAUUCUUAAAGAAAAAACAUUCCAUCAUAUUUAAUUUUGAUAGGGAAAAUUGAAUGGUUAGCUUUCACUUUCUGUUGAACCCAUCAGCACUGCUAGCUCCUUAAACAGUAUACUGAAGUUUAGCAAGCAGGAGAAUAAUUUACCUGAAAAUAGCUUUAACAGACCUCAGAAAUCAUUGCAUUAUUUUAUAUGGAGUUUUAAGUAAACAGCCAAAUUCCCUUUGAGCUUACAGAUAAGUUUACUAAUAUGGCCUUUGAGUCAAAUGACUAAAAGAUUUGUUAUGCUUCCCAAAAAAUGUAUUGGCACGUGUAGAUCACUGCUGUUGGGAUACAGAGCAUUGUUCAAGUAAUGAUGUCAUAUAAGCUACCUCUGUGGAAAGGAGUGGACAGACGCAUGCUGAGACGUGCAUUCAGCAAUGUUCCAUAUAGAAGAGCAGAAGAAGCAGAGAUUUCUAUUUCACUCCAGCUUUGCAGAUUCUUGAAUAUUUUCCCUGUGUUUCACGUGUUUGAACUCUCAACAAAAUACAUUUAAUAAUUAAUAAUGGAAUUAAAUAUAUUAAUUUUUCUUUAUAUAUAUAUAUUUUUUUUUUUCAAGUAGUGGUAUUUGAAUAAUCCCAGUAGGGUGCUGAGCAACAAGAAAGGCAAAAUAUAAAAGGGGUAAAAUACUGUCUGAUUCUGGAAGUCACAUUUAGAUAUGCAUAACAACGCAUUAACAAGCAAAUUGCUUGGGAGGAGGAGGGAUAUUUUGGAAAUAAAUAUUUUAAACAGAAAGACACUGAGGCUGAGCAGGCUAUAUCCAAGGACUAUCAUAUGAUGGCAAGGUUAUACUAAGAAGCUUUUUCUAAAAUGAUGUCUUUCCAUUUUCAGUUGACCUCUGAUUUCAUCUCAGACAAUGAUGAGGGCAUAAAUAUGGAUUAUUAUGUUACACAAACGUCUGUGCUGUUUCUGUCGGUUCGUGAGGAGGCCGUAGGUAGGAGGCCUAACAUUGAGGCGAUGGAAAUAUUUUUUCAAAGUAAGGGUAGAAAAAAAAUCAGUUAAUUUACUUACCUAAAGGUUGCCUAUGAAGCACGUAUUCACUGAAGUUUUUAAUUCAAUACGGUCAGAGAACGUGGGCAUUGAUUGCCUCAUAGCAGAGAGAAAAAUGUCUUUCUCCUUUAAUGUUUUUAACAGUAAAGGUGAAUUUCUGACUCAACUGAAAUCAUAGCGUUUUCAUCAACGUCAGCACAUCUCGAAAUUAACACAGAUUUCAUGGCUGCUGUCCUACAUUUCAGCAUUACAAUAAAUCGAAUUUUCAAAAGGGAUAAAAGGUUUGUUGGGUUUGCCAUUUUAUUUCACUCCUUACCCUCAGAUAUUCUUGUAAAGGCUGGUUCUUACUCAUUUCUGAAGCUUGAAAUCCUUUGUUACAUCCCAUUUUGGCCAUGUGAAACUGAAAAUGAGUCUCUGCAUACUGGUCAUUAACCUGAACUUGGCACACUACAUGUGUAUGGGCAGCUGUAUUUUUGUUUGUUGUUUUUCUAUUGAUAUUUUGUUAGAUUUUUUUUUAACUUAUUGCAUUUGUGGAGUAUUUGUAUUGUAAACAAGCUCACCAAAGCUUAGCCUACAAGCCAUAAUGUCACCCCAUGCAGCGUGCUUGCAUCUUUGGCCCCUCUUGCUCUUCUGACAGAAUUCAGCAGAAUAAUGUGGUGUGUUUUUUUUUUUAAAAAAAAAACAACUCAAUUUUGUUACUAUAGUGAAUACUUUCUUGGAAGCUGCUUAUAUAGGCUUGAAAAGCUGAUAUGUACUCCUCCUCCACCUUUCUUCUGGUACAGAAACCUAAAAAUGUCAAGACUAAUCUCAUGUUUAAGUUAUUUCAAAUAACAGAGAAAAGAGUCCUCAUCCUUUUGCAUGUAGGAAAAAAAAAAAAGGGCCUCAGUCUUGGGAAAACCACACUGCUUUUGUUGUUGGUAGAAAUCACAGCUACAAGGAUCACGGUCACUGAGAACAUGGAGAAUGUCCUGGUCUAUGAUGUUACAGACUGAUGUGUAGACAAUGCCUUAUCUAUUGCUCGUGCUAUUAGCAUCCUUGAUGCAUAGUCUUCACUUGGUGUGAGACUGUCAUGAAUCAGGGACAUGUAACAAAUGAGGUUAUGUGCCUUUGAAUUCCUGGUCUGAGGAAGAAAGAAAGUGACAGCAGAGCAGUCUCAGCAAGCUAGUAAAGUUUUAAAAAUACACUAAAACACCUAUUGACUGCUUCUCAUGGCCAUUUAUAUCGGCAUAGUAUCUUGUGAUAAAUGUUAAUUCUGUUGAUGAGUGUGCUGGUGUCAGGGUAUUGGCAAUGGGGUGGCUGUGUUGAUAUCCUCUGAGGAAAGGCUGGGGGCUACCCUGCAUUGUACGGCCCCAGUGCCAGCUGGCUCCAUCUGCUCAAACCAUUGACCAAGCUAUUGACAGCCACUCCUGGGAAAACUGGGCAUCUCUGGUGCCUGGAGCACAACCUCCCCUUCCUUCUUCUUUGACUUUAGCAUUCUCUCUGCUGUUUCUUGCACUUUUUACUCACACUUCCUCUGCCCUUUUUUUUUUUAAGAAGGGACGAAGUAUGUCACACAGGCAAUUAUUGCUAAUUAAUAACAGUCCUGAGCAGUGAGAAAACUAAAAGCAAACUGAAGACACCUUCCCUCCAUUCACCAUCUUUUACCUUCUCCCCACAAGCAGACCGGAGCUGCAGUCAGUCCAUAGCAUUUUGUCUUUGCUGCUCCUGUAUAGUCACUUUCUGCCCCACAUGGGGUCCCUCCCACAGAUGCCAUCCUUCCCAAACUGGUCCCAUGUGGCCUUCACGCAGACUACAGCUCUCCAAGCACUGCUCAAACGUGGCUUCAUACCACGGGGCCCUCCUUCUGCACUGACCUUGGUGCCUGCAGAGCUGUUUGUCUCAUGUUUCUCACUCCUCUCUCCCAGCUGCUGUUGCACAGCAGUUUUCCCCUCUCUUAAAUCUGCUCUCCCAGAGCACACCCAGCAUCACUUAUGGCUCAGCUCUGGCAGCAGCAGGUCCCUUUGGGAGCAGCUGGAGCUGGCUCUGGUCUGAUAUGGAGCAGCUGCUCAUGGAGACUAUCCCUACAGAUCCCUGCUACCCAAGCCUUGUCAUGUAAACUCUAUAUAUACUUCAAAAUAUCAUAUUUGAAGUGCAUCUUCCUUUUUUUCUUUCCUCAUUACUGCAUGGAAAAACAGUUGGAUGCUGAAGUCCCUCCUAACCGUGGACUGUAGUGUCUGCCAGCCAGAAAGCAGGACAUAGGCUGCUGAUGUACAGAUCAGGGAGAAUAGACCAGCAUGUGUACAGUUACCCUUGAACUCUUAACAGCAGGUAAAAAUCUCCCUAUUAUCAUGUUUCCCUACAGCUGCUUUUCUUACUUUUGCUGUAGUGCUGGAUAUUAGCUGGGAGGGCUUGGAAGAAUUGCCAUCACUUGGGGAUGACAGCAGUUCCUGCAGUUUGCCUGCAGUUUGGUCAACUCCUUUGAAGGGCUGUGAUGACUCUUGUCUGUGAAGGUGGAAGGAGAGUGAGUGCUACAAGCAUUGUUAUAAGCAAAAAGGAAAGCCUACCUUAUCUGAACUUUUUAACAGUUACUGUACAGGCAACAGUUCAGUUGCAAAACCUAAUACUUGUCCAUACUGAUACAGAUAGCCUUGAUAAUACAAUUCAAAUUUUGUUUAGGAAAUUCUCCUAGUUUCUGCUACUUUCCUCUGGUGUUACAGUACUUCCCAUGUUCAUCUAUCUCUAAAGAUGGACACUAAGUUAGGAUGAGAGAGGCUUGGAGCUGGUUGUCAGCAUCCCAAGGACUUUGCAAGGAGAAAUAAUGGUUGUAAAAGUUGCCUCUACUUGCAAUGAGAGACUUGAUGUUGAUUGUUUCUUCCUGCUCAAUUUUAAAGUCCAUUUAGGUUUUUUGUAUGCUUGCUUAUCACCAUCUGCCUAUAUGCCCUUUUCCAACAUUGGUUCUCAGUUUCUCUAUUUAUUUCAUUCUCUUUUUUUCUAUAUCAGGUCUUUUACAGUGCGAGGCAGCUCUUUUGUAGUGACUUUAAAAACCAUGUGUGUGUUUCCCCUGAUACUUUAGAUGUGGACCAGCUUCAACUCAUGCACAUAGUUACCUUCUUUCUCUGAGGUUAUUCUGGCACCCGACCUUUGAUGAAAAUAUGAUACCCAGAAACUCACACCUGUGGGUGAUUCUUAUCUCAGGUGUUCUGUUCCCUUUGCCUGGAUUUCAGAACCGGAAGACUUAUAAAAUAUCCUACCCACACGUACAUUCUUGCUGUAAGAAGACAGCUGAUAAUUCUUUCAUCAUCCACAGUACACCAACAGGUAGAUAAAAAGAGGGAGGGCCUUAGGUUUGAUGUGAAAGUACUCAUAUGGUCUGACAACAUGAAUUCCUUCCUUGGGAACUCUAUGCAGUAUGAAGGUCUUUCAUCUCUGCUCAUGCCAGUAUAUGGAUGCCUUAGCUCAUAUCCAGAAAGCAUGGAAUUGCACUUCAUUACGUGUUGUUUUUGUGCAUGUAUGUAAGAAUUGCAUGUUCAGAUUCUUAGGCUUUUUUUUUUUUAACAUUUCUUAGUACUCAGCAAAUGCUCUGACAGUGCUAUGAGCUAGAAUUGGAGCUUGGACUGCAGAAAAUUAUUGUAUGAUAAUACUUCUUUUAAAAGAAGUCAUCUCAAAGACUUAGGAUCUUGUAAACAUUAUGAAAUUGCUGCUAUGUUCCCAUUUUCCCUUUAAAAGUGUGCAGGCAGAUGUGCUUCUGAGGGGGCCUUAAUUCAAGCCUUGUAUCUCUUUUCUCUGGGUCUGGGAAACAUCUUUUCUCCUUUUACCUCAAUGCUGGACUGAUGCAUUGCUCUCCAUAGACAUAACUGCUGCUGAGCAUGCUAAAAUGGACAGAGAAAAAAAAGAGGAUGACGUAAGAUAUUUCCUUUCAUUAAGAUCUCCUUUGUACUAUUAGACUUUCCUUUGUCCCCUCUGCCUGGCACACAGUGAGACAUUUGACCCUCUUGGGUUGACUGACUGAUGCUUUAACAAGAGCCUUGUGUUUAUAUUGUUCUACAUAUUGUUACAGAAAUAAAUUAACUGAAGCUUCCCAAAUGACCCAGCAAUAAGAAAACAAAACACGUUGGUCUGCCCUUGCAAGCAGCACCACUAGAAGGUCAUAAUGAGAAAAGUGCAGUUUGAGGCUGGAAGGACUGAAUGUCACAGGACAACUUCUAAAGGGCAGCACGAAGUUACCUUUAGCUCAUGACAUCCAUCACGUUGAUUUUAAAGAAGCAGAGUCUUGUCCUAGAGAAUUCUGAAAUCAACGUAUGUUAUAAUGAAUGGCAACUUGGAAUAUUUGCAUACAGGUUUCUUCUCUUGAUCAUAUUAAAAUUAAAGUUAAAUUCAGAUAACUGGAGGUUUUGGGGGGGGUUGGUUGGUUUCGGGUGGUUUUUUUUUGGUUUUUGUUUGUUUUUUUGGUGGUGGUGGUUGUCUUUUGCUUUUCUUCCUGGUGGCUUAUUCUAAGUAGAGGUUUGUGGUUUUGUUUUUUCCCUUAGUGGUAAAAACUUUCCCCUAGUGAAGAAAUACACGACUCUUCUAUACCUAGAGAAUAUCUAGCCAGAAUAUAGCAGUAUUUGAGAUGUUUAUGCCUUCUUAUUUCAGUGCCAGAUGUACAUGCAAUAACCUUGUUUUUGUCAUCUCAAUACCCAGACUUUCCAGGUGACCAUGGUCUAAACUUGUGAUAAUCAUAUCGGUGGUCCGUUAUAAUGAAACAGUAAAGUAUUCCUGCUGGAAACAAGUCUAAAAAAAGCACAUUUGAGAGGAUUAUUUCAGGAAGCCUUAAGUAGGCUAUGCUGUUGCAUAGCAACAGAGCCAGGCAGUCCUUAGACUCUAAAGCAGUCAGAGUACACAUGGGAACAGAAUGCAAAAAGGAUGGAAACAUUGAAAAAAUGUAAGGCUGACAUGAAGACAAACUGAUGUGAAAUGAUAUGCAGUGCAGAAUGUGAAUUUAUCAUGUGAGAGAUAAUAAAUUGAACUGCUGUUAAAUCGAGAGCUGAAGUGCUGUCAGCUAAACUGUGCUUCAUGGUAGCCAUUAAAAGAAAGGCAGAAAAUCUGGUGGCUGGAAAAACUAAUUCAGAUGUAAAGUAGAUGUUAAGUGCCUGAAGAAGAAAACAAAAUGUGUGAAGGUGUUGGGCUUUUUAUUGAUAAGUCAAAAGUUGACCAAAUAUUUUAUGAAUGAAAUACUGAGUAAAGUAUUGUGACACAAAGAGACUGUUAUUAAAAAGCUACUUGUCUCACAUUCGCAGGUCUCCAAGCUGGCCCAUGGUACGGAUCUUAGCAAAUACUGAGAAGUACAGUGUCAUUGGGUGUAUUCUUGGCAAAAUCCAAGCCUGCGUGUAAAAUGUGAAAUCUCAACAGAAGCACAUUAUGGUUGUGCAACUUCGCUUUUCGCAAGAGAUAAUUAUUUCUUAUUAAAAGCAAAUAAAGGAGACAAUAUUUAAAAUUUGGUAACAGAGCUGUUUGUCAUUUUGGUAUCCAAAAAGAAGGCUUCCCUUCCUUCAAGUGCUACUUUUGUCACUGCCCAAGAAGAUACAGCAAUAAGCUCUUCUGUUCUGGAUGCUGCAACGAAUACUUUGAUGGUGAAUCAUGACUGCAUGAUUUUGAAAGGUAGUCACAUGCAGACAGUUAAGCUAUUGCAUCAGAACCUGCUGAAAAGAUUAAUGAUAUAACAUUGCAUCUGUCUAGUAAGUUACAAUUUCUUUAAAAAAUGGAGGAAAAUGCCUUGAAAAGGGACAGUUGCCUUCUAAACACUAAAGAAGAAUUUUAAAAUAGCUGAACUCUGAAGCUUUUAUAUACCUUGACUACAUGAUAACUUGACAACAUGUUGUAAUGAAGCAUGGAAGAAUCAGAGCAGAUAGAUCUGGGAGAAACGUCAUGAGAGUGCUGAUGCAUCCCCCUGUCCACAGAGGAUCAGUGUAUAGCCUAUUGUAAAUGCUGUCAUAGUGGUAUUUAGACAUUUUCUUUUUGCUGGUCUAACUGUGUACUUUCUUCUUUGAGAUUCUUAUGUUAUCUGCAAGCUGAUGUUGUAGAUGUUGUAUCAAUCAAAUUGUCAGAAUGCAGAACAUCACAAAAUGCAAACUUUGUUCACUUGGAAAUGGGAGCAGUGUAAUGGGAUGGAUGACUCUAUUAAGUGAAGUCUCUUGCUCUGAAACUGGGAGGCAAACGACCUUCCAAAAUUAUAUUGAAUGAGAUUGUCCUAGAGGAAAACAGUAAUUGUAGUGAUAGGAGUAUUGUCUGGAAAUAAAUUAUAGGCCAUAACUAUUUCAGAACUUGGCCUAACAGUAAAUAGUGGAAACUGUUCUAGAGAAGGAAAAUCAAAAUACUCAUAGAAGGAGAUGAGAUUGGUCAAGCAGGACCUGCCUUUCACGAACUGUUGCUGGAUGGGCCUGAUUCCCUGGUUGUCCCACACAAGGUGUGUGAUCACACUUAAGAUGAUCUAUUCCUUAACCUUUCCUGGCUUCGAGGUCAUGCUGGCAGUCUUGUAGUUCCCCAUAUUCUCCUUACAACCCUUCUUAUAGAUGAAAGUCAUACUAGCAAGUCUCCAGUCAUCAGGAACCUCCUCAUUUGGUCAGGACUACUGUUAGAUGGUGCAGAGCAACUUGGCAAUCAUGUCGAACAUCUCCCUCAGUGCCCUCAGGUGGAUCCUGUUUGGCCCCAUGUACUUCUGACAGUCCAGGUGGAGUAGCAGGUCUCUAACUGUUUCCACCUGUAUCGUAGGGGAUUUAUUCUGCUCCCCAUCCCAGAAUUCCAGGUCAAGAGGCUGAGUACUCCAAGGGUAACUGGUCUGACUACUAGGGACAAAUGUAAAGAAGGCAUUGAGAACCUCAGCCUUUUCCUUAUCCCUUAUUCUCACCACAUCCAGUAAUGAAUGGAGAUUCUCCUUGCCCUUUCUCUUACUGUUAAUAUAUUUGUAAAAACAUUUCGUUGUCCUCUACCACUGUGGCCAGGUUGAGGUCAUAAUGGACUUUAGCCUUUCUGAUUUUCUCCCUGCAUAUGCUAGCACCUUUGCCCAUCAGGACUGAUUCCCAAGGGUCUCUCCCAUCAGUGUCCUGUACAGCCCAAAGUCCACCCUCCAGAAGUUCAAGGUAGCAGUUUUGCUGACCUCCCUCCUAACUUCACUAAUGAUUGAGAACUGUACCAUUUUGUGGUCGCUCUGCCCAAAACAACUCUUGACCACAUCUCCCAUCUGUCCUCUGUUUGUGAACAGCAGGUCUGGCAGGGCAGAUCCCCUAGUAGGCUAUCUUACCAGCUGUGUCAGGAAGUUACCUUUCACGCACUCUGGGAAUCUCCUAGACUGCUUCCCCUGGAGUGUAUUGUAUUUUCAGCAUAUAUCAGGGAAGUUGUUCCAUGAGAACAAGAGCUGGUGAUAACGUGACUUCUGCCAGCUGCUUGUAGAAUGUCUUGUCCGUGUCCUCAUCCUGGUUUGGUGAUCUGUAACAGGAUCCCACCAGGAGGUCAGUCUUGUUGGCCUUCCUCUGAUCCUUACCCACAGCAACUUGACCUUAUUAUUCCCAGUCCUGAUGGAGCCAGUUCUUACAAAGCACAACUAUGUCCCAUUUGACUGGAAAAGUAUUCAACAGUACUGCAUAUUGUCUGUACGCCACUUCUUGUUUCAAGACUAAGCUAUGUUCUCUGAUGAGAAUUAUGUUGAUGAAUACCUUUAAAACUCUAUCUGUGUAGGUUGGCACUUAUUGGCAGAAGUGUCUGAGAGAAAUAACUUGUUUGCAGCAUGAAUCCUGAAUAAGGAAGACAGGGAUGCUUCAUGAGUAAAACCCAUGACUUCUUUUGCUUUUUUUCCUUUUUACUAAAUGUCCUGGUGCACCUACUGUGUUUUUGCAGAAAGGAAUAUUGAACUAAAAUUAAGUGGUAAAUGAGAGACCAAAUCCUUGUGGCCAUAAGCAUGGUUGAUUUUGGUUAAGCAUAGACAGAGUAUUUAAAUCUUUGCCUUUUAGUUCUGUAGAUCUCCUUAGUCAGAAUAUACUAAAACAGCACUUAUUGUAGAAGGGAAAUAUAUUGACUUUUUUUUUUUUUUUGAAUGAUUUCUUUGUAAAAGUUAUGAGCUUAAGAAUAUGCGACUUCAUAAUGCUUUUUUAAUGCAGAUUUAAAGCAACUUUUCAUUUUUUUCUGGUUAAAAAAGUCUGGGAUGGUAAUUUUGAUUAUUCUAUUUCAUGGUUUAUCAGUUGAGUUAUCCAGUAAAUUCCAGUAAGAUAUCAUUGUCUUAUUGCUCAACUGUGUCUGUGCAAAAACAGUACUGUUCCUUAGUAUGAUAGAUACAAUCUCUCAUGGAAAAGUAUUCUUUUAUCAAGUUACUGCUCUAUUUCAUCUGCUUCCAAAAUAGCAGUCCAUGCAUUAGAUGGGAAUCUAAGUGUACAGGUAGCUGUGGAAUAGAGCUGUCUUCUCCCUGUCCCGUCUCUAAGCUAAGGCUGGAUUUGGAACCAAAAUUUAUCUUAAAAGCAUAACUAUACAUCUAUAAAACAGACGUGCUAUUACAUGACAAGUUCUCUUGUUUGGGGUUUUUUUUUUUUUUUUGGUUCCUUUAUGAAAGUUGUACAUAGAUAAUUAUCUUCAAAUAAUGUGCUGAUUGUGAUACAUUUAGCAGCCAAAGCCUGGGAGAGUUUUACCUAAAAAUCAUUUAAUUCAACCUCAUCAUUAAGCGUGUGUGAAGAAAGAAGGGAAGUAAACAUUGAAGGAUUGUGCCUCUUAGACAUAUACGACAUCUUCACCAAGAGAAUUGCAGCUCUCCUGUGCUGGCAGGCAGCAUAUGUCAAAUCUUGUAGACAAGCAGUGUGUCAAGUGCUCAUUGUUACUCUCUGUCAUCCAUUUUAAAAUAAAAUAUUGUUGCCAAUUGAUAUUUUUUAUUAUGGGGUUUUGGAGUUCAUUUAGGUAGUUAAUCUCUUGAAAACAUUAAAUUCAACAACUCAGGGUACUUCUAGCCCACUACCUGCAGAGAUGCUGAUUUUAAUUUCUGUUGAUAUGUCACAUGCUUCAUGUACUUUCACUUUCAAACUCUUGAUAACAAUAUCUUUGUAUAAAACUUCUUUCACUGAGUUGUGAAAUCUCAUCAAACUGGGAUUUCAUUUAUGAAAGCCAUCGCUAAGUUUUGGAUUUUUACUGUUAUUUUUCAGUAGAACCCAAGCAUAUGGAAGAAGGAAAAGAGUAUAAAUUUGACAGUUACCUCAAGAAAUUGGAGGUGGAAAAUUUAACAGAAGUUGUAUUGCAUAGGCCAAGAAGUAUUCAGGGAGCUUUCUAAAAACACCAAUGCUGACUCUUUCAUACAUACUUUUUAAUGCUGUUCUUGUCAUCUCUUUCUCCUUCUGAGUGCUCUGAAUACUAAUUCUACUCCUCACAGUGUUUACAGUACAUCCUCAGUUUCAUAGGAUAUGAAUGUAGACCUUUUGCAGGUGUAGCAUUAUGUGUUACAUGGAAUAGUCAUUUAUAAUAACAGAGAUGUCUUAUUAAAUGGGCUAAAAUCCAAGACUGCAAAGUCUCCCGUGAUCAUGCUGUAUCUGUUUACCUUCCUUCCUGUCCUCAUCCUCUGUAAUUCCUUAGGAGCCUGAAAGUAAUUUUGAACACAACCUCCAUAGAGAGUAAGGAGUUGAGAGGUAAAAGAAAUUCUUUCACACAUUUUGAGACGUUUCAUGAAACUAGGAGGCUGAGGAAAGUGGCUUUAUGAUAAUCCCCAGUGCUGCAGUUGACAUUCUAACCUUCUAUCAAGCAAAAUGGCUCUGUGCUGGGGGAGCCUUCAGAUGGCAACCCUGCACGUGGCAAGGGGGUUGGAAUAUAGAUAGAUGAUCUUUGAGGUCCCUUCCAACCCAAGCCAUUCUAUGAUUCUGUGCUGAGAUGAUAUCUUACCACUUACCUUGGUAUCUAGUUCCAUAGCACCAGGUUUCAUCUGUCCUUAUUCUGACAUAACUGCUUUCUUCUUGUUUCUGCUUCCUCUAGUUUGCUGGUUCCGUUGGCAGAAGAAGUGAGGUAUUCAGCCUUCUUUUUUCAGUUUCAUAGCAUGUGGGAAAAUGCUGGUUUUGUAACUUGAGAUUAGUAAAUAGUAGAAAGAAGACUAGAACCACGUUUUCUGCAAGAGUAUCUGUUAAUGAAAUCAGAAAAUUGAAAUUAUGUUUCACAGAAUUAUUCACAAACUCAAUUCGUUCCACAGAGAAUGAAGAGAAGUGAAUGGUAAUACCUUAAUGACUGAUUCGAUGACUUUAUUAGGGACUGACGGGCAUUGUGGCAGUCACUGGAAGCGAAACUCUCAGGUGAUGUCAGUGGAGUUCCACAUUUAUACUGUAAUGUCUCAGGAUAAUGCCAAUGCAUAACAGAAUGGUGUUCGACAUUUAAAAGAAGAUGCAGACAGGAAAACUCGGAAGUGUUAAUAAACGUAUGUUUGGUAACAUUCUUUUUCUGUUCUGAGUGUUGCUAGUAAUGCCAUAUUGAGCCCAUAGAAAAUGAGCCUUUAAAAUUCUCCGCAAGUACAUUUUUGUAUGGCUUUAUAGCUUGUUUCCUAGCUAAAAUUAAGUUAUUAAGCCUGAGAGUUCCCUUGGUGUUCUGUUUUAUGGAGUGUCUCAUGAAGAUGAUAAUCUCACAGAAGUGUAAUCUGUGGAGUGCAAACUCUGUACAGUCCAGGGAGUUGUACAUGGAGUAGAGUAGCCCUCGUUUUGCUGGCCUUGUAGACAAAUAGCUUGUUCCGUCUCAGUCAUGGACUUCUCUGCUUAUUCUAUUCCUGAUGCACUGAUUUGCAGCUUCCAAAGUAGUAAAAGAAUAUUCUUCUGUGGUGGUUUUGGUUGGCUGGUUUUGUUCUAUUUUCUCUUCCCCCACACUAAGUGAAAUCAACAGCUUGGCCAGAGUGAUACCUAUGAUGACUUUGGACUGACACUACACUAGUGACAAAAUCCAAUUUGUACAUGUAUUACUUAGAUCUUGUACUUUUUCUGCAGGCACAAGCAAAUAGUAACUCCAGAAAGUUUCGCUUCAGACAUUUUGUAUUCUGAUCUUGCUGGAUGAUAUUUGUCAGUGAACAGGUCCUCGCUGUUUCUUUUCACUUAUGAAUUUUAUAUGCUUCAUUACACCACUGUUGAAAUAUUUGGUACUGAAACGGCUGCACCCUGGAGAAAGAACAACUGGUAGAUUUCUCAUUUGCUUCAGUAUUCUUGGGGUACUUCAAGAAGGGAGCGCUGCACUGGAAGAAAUGUACAUGUGCUCAUGAAGGCAUUAGUAUAGUAGUAUUAGUUAACUGUGAGGCAGAGCGCCAUUAAUGUGUGUCAGGCAGGCUUUCAGACAGUGCUGACCCCUUCCAUUCCUUGGGUGUUUGUUGUUAGGUUUUAACUUUUUUUUUUUUAUAGCAGUUUCCUGUUUCAUAGUGGUUGUUCAUAGGAGUAAAAUUACCAUGUCAGCCAUCCAGCAUUUGGCAUGAGACACCAAAGCUUGAUAGCCCUGAACUUUUUCGAAUACGUCAGUCUUGCAGUGAUACUUGAUACAGUUAUAUUUAGUCUUGAUAAAAUAUGGUUUAGAACCCUCCUUUGGCUUCUCAGGCAACUUACAUGUAUCCCCUCACUCAGCUGACUGAAGUUGUGGAGGUGAGGGCUGGGGUGAGGAUGAAUGGCCAGAAUUUGUGAAGAUAAUUCAGAUCUAAGUGUAGGAAUGAGUUGGCUGUUGUCUUACGUACCUAUUUAAAUAAAGAGUUUAUAUGAAAUGAGGGUUUUUUUAUUUUAAGAGGUAAAAAGCUGAAUCCUUUGCUGCUCUUAGUAGGGGCUUCCUCAGCGUCCAGCAAUUGUAUGUAGUAGGAACUGGUUAAAAGCGUUUGCACACUGUGUGCAAAUGUGGAGAUACAGCUACUCCAGUAAUAACAGCUAAACCUACCUUUCUGGGCACGUUCUCUCUUUGCAGUAUGUAAAGCCCAAGAAGUGCAGCUUAGAACUGAAGGAAACAUAUAGCUGUAGGGGUGCUGCUGCUGUAUGGUGGUUCCCCAGUGCUGCUUUUCUUCAGAGUACUGCUCCACCAGAAAGCUUCCAUGAUCGUCCUCCUACAUCCAGACAUAAAGUGUGAGAGAAGUCACAUUUAAAGCAUGUUAAUCUGGCUUUUUGCAGAAAGCCUUAGUACAAAUGAACUACAGUAAAAGAAGCAUCAGCAAAAGAAAGUUUUAACCCGUCAGGUUAAAGCUGUGGCAGACAGUCCAGCAAAGAUGCAAAUCUUUCUCUUACUGAGGUUGAAAUAUAAGUUUCCCCUAUUGGCAAACUUUACAUUAAGGCAUAUCAUCGCAUAUCCCAUAAUGGCAUGAAAAAUAACUUAUUUUCCAUUGGAAAAGAAUUCUGAGCUAUAUCUAGCUUGCAGAGUGUGGCUUUUUAAGCUGUGCUUUAUAGUUCAGCUCUUCCUGUACUCUUAUUAGCUUAUUUCCACUCACUUCAGUGACUUUUUGGUAAUGCAUUCACUUUGGUGUAGGUACAGCACCAAAAUAAAUUUGAAGAGUCUAUACACAAAGCCAAAAUUAACCAUACUAGAGGAAAAGCAAAUGCACAAAACAUAUCAGUGCUGUACAUGAGCACAUACUGUUAUCAAUUUGUACUUUCUUAAUCCUUGUGCUCUGCUUUUUGUGCAGAAAGGAACUUUGUUCCACCCCCUACCUUCCUCCUACUUCCCAGCUAAUAUUAAAAGCAGAGACAGCUCUAUAAAGAAAUUAUGUUGCUG
rnacentral:lncRNA from 1 species